UACGAAGGGGGCUAGCGUUGUUCGGAAUCACUGGGCGUAAAGCGCAUGCAGGCGGAUUGUUAAGUCGGGGGUGAAAUCCCGAGGCUCAACCUCGGAACUGCCUUCGAUACUGGCAAUCUUGAGUCCGGGAGAGGUGAGUGGAACUGCGAGUGUAGAGGUGAAAUUCGUAGAUAUUCGCAAGAACACCAGUGGCGAAGGCGGCCGACUGGUCCGGUUCUGACGCUGAGGCGCGAAAGCGUGGGGAGCAAACAGG
rnacentral:rRNA from 1 species